rnacentral:rRNA from 1 species
AACGAACGCUGGCGGCAUGCCUAACACAUGCAAGUCGAACGAACCCUUCGGGGUUAGUGGCGCACGGGUGCGUAACGCGUGGGAAUCUGCCCUUGGCUUCGGAAUAACAGUUAGAAAUGACUGCUAAUACCGGAUGAUGUCGCAAGACCAAAGAUUUAUCGGCCAGGGAUGAGCCCGCGUAGGAUUAGGUAGUUGGUGGGGUAAAGGCCUACCAAGCCGACGAUCCUUAGCUGGUCUGAGAGGAUGAUCAGCCACACUGGGACUGAGACACGGCCCAGACUCCUACGGGAGGAAGCAGUGGGGAAUAUUGGACAAUGGGGGCAACCCUGAUCCAGCAAUGCCGCGUGAGUGAUGAAGGCCUUAGGGUUGUAAAGCUCUUUUACCCGGGAUGAUAAUGACAGUACCGGGAGAAUAAGCUCCGGCUAACUCCGUGCCAGCCGCCGCCGCGG